GGAAGACUUGAUUGGGGGAGGGGGAGGGAAUGGGAGGUGGUGGCGGGGAAGAGGCAGAAAUCUUUAAUAAUUAAAUUAAUUAAUUAAUAAAAAAAAUCAGCAAGAAAAAAAAAUUUACACUUGUCUAUAAAGAGGUUAUGAAGUUGUCAAAAAAAAAAUUUGGGGAUGAAAACCAAAAUGCCCCAACUAAGUGGUCACGUUAACAAAACUGUGCAAUACCAUUGGGCCACCUAGUGAUGGACAGAGAAAUGGAGGAUAAAAAUGUGUCUGUACCUGUUUUGGGAUGGGAGAGGAGUUGUGGGUCCCCACACAGCCUGCUGAGGGAAAAUGCAUGAGAAUGAGAGGAACCAGGUUUAAAGCUGGCUUGGCUGAUGCACAUGUUUUGAGACCAAGGAAAGGCCCUGCCCUGUGCUGGUGGCCUGCAAUCAUGUGUCCUGGUCUCAUCAUAUUGGACUUGCCUACAGAACCUGGGUCCUCAGCUCUCCUUUGUGUUGUGUUCAAGGGAAGCCAUGUUUGUUACUGGAACUCUCCCCUUGCUGGUCUAGUGUACAAGGUGUGAAUAGCCAUCUAGACAGGGAGAAUUGGAACAUGUCCAUUGAAGGUAGUUCUGGGAUCCUCAAUUUGAUGAAGUGGAUUUCAUGAUAAGGGUCAUCUGUGAGAUUUGGGACUACGAGAUUAUAUGAGGAGAUGUGGACACAUGGAUCUCACUGUUCAUAGACUGAGUGCCUGGUGAACUGUGCCAUCCAGGCCUAAGUGCGUGAGCCAGUGUUGGAAGUUAGGUAUCUAGCAAACGCCUAGGCUGAGCUGGUAGGAAGUCUGUGUGACAGCAGCCUUUCCUUGAAAUCCCCACAUUGUGGGUUGACUGUGGCUCAUAAGGCCGUUACAGGACAGGAUUUUACAUAGUCCAUUUGAAGCCAUAAACAUGUGUGGUAUACUCACCCUGUAACAAAACCAAAGAAAGGACGAGAAUCCUCAAAAUGCCUGCAUAUAGACCACAAGAUUCCAGCUCGGCCUAGGAGUUUAGGCUAGUGGCAGACUGAGAGGAUAAUGGACAAUCUCAGGACUCUGCUGGUGUGCAGAAUACAUGUACAUGGUGUAUCUGUAACAGAGACUGAGAAAUCAUGGGAUCUGGAGACUCACCUGACUCAGUGCUGUGAAAUCAUACAGAGCGCUUCUUAUGGCAAUUAUUGUCAAAACAGUGGGAAUCAACCCUCCCAAUGACAAUCUCAAGCAAAGAUAUGUCCGGUACAAAUCAUAGAACCAGCAAAAUCGAAAUUAGGACUUGUCUGUUAGAAUUCAUAGCACCUGUAAAAUUGCAGUGAGUACGUACCAAUGAAAAAAAUUUUAUGGCUGGUGGUCACCAGAACAUGAGAAACUUUCCUAAAGGGUUGCAGCAUGAGGAGGGUUGAAAGCCACUCUCUUAGGUACAUCAUGUAGUAGGUGCUUUUAUAUGCUGGAAUGCUUUCCAUGAAUUGAAAAUGUAAGGCCUAUGUCCUCAUCAAGGUUUCUGUACUGGGAGAGUAGAGACUACAGUGAUGGUAGAAUAUCUUGGUCACUCAGGUGAUGUUGGUUUUGCACAGACUUCUGGAUCAUAGACAGGCAUCCCUAGAGUAUGUGGAUGCCAUGGGUGAGGGCAAGGCUUCAGACAACCUCUGAAGAUGGUCUGACUGGGAACAAUAAGAUCCCAGGUAAUUCAAAAGGAUUCAAAUUUGUGGAUGAGAACCAAAAUGCCCCAACUAAGUGGUCAAGUUCAAAAACCAGUGCAACACCAGUCGGCCACCAAGUGACUGACAGGGAAAUGGAGGAUUAAAACAUGUCUGUGCCUGUUUUGGGUUGGGGGAUGAUUUGUGGGUCCCCGCAAAGCCUACUAAGGGGAGAAUGCUUGAGCAUGAGAGGAACCAGGUUCAAAUCUGGCUUGGCUAAUGCACAAUAGUGAGACCAAGGAAAGGCCCUGCCCUGUGCUGGUGGCCUGCAAUCAUGUGUCCUGGUCUCAUCAUAUUGGACUGGCCUACAGAACCUGGGUCCUCAGCUCUGCUUUGUGUUCUGUUCAGGGGAAGCCAAGUUUGUGACUAGAGUUUUCCCCCUGCUGGUCUGGUGCACAAGGUUUGCAUAGCCAUCUAUACUGGGAGAAUGGGAACAUGGCCUGUGAAGGCAGUUCUGGGACCCUCAUUUUCCUGGAAUGAAUGUCGUGGGCAGAUGAUCUGUGAGACCUGGAAUGAAGGGAUUAUAUGAGGAAAUGUGGACACAUGGAUCUCACUGCUCAUAGCCUGAAUGUCUGGUGAACUGUGCCAGCUAGGCCUAAGAGCGUGAGCCAGUGUAGGAAGUUAUGUGUCCAGAAAACUCCAAGGCUGAGCUGAAAUGACGUCUGUGUGACAGCAGCCUUUCCUUAAAAUCUCAACAUUGUAAGUUGACUGCACAUAAGGACGUUACACAACAGGCUUUUGCAUAGUCCUUUUGAAGCCACCAACAUGUGUGGUAUACUCACCCUGUAACAAAACCAAAGCAGGGACGAGAAUCCUUAAAAUGCUGCUUUAUAGACUUCAAGAUUCCAGCUUGGCCUAGGAGUUUAGGCUAGUGGGGGACUCGAGGAGAUAUUGGUCCCUCUCAGGACUCUGAUGGAAUGUAGAAAACAUUUACAUGGACUAUGUGUAACAGAGACUGAGAAAUCAUGGGACCUGGACACUCACCUGGAUCGGUGCUAUGAAAUCCUACAGAGCCCUUUUAUAGCAGUUAUUGUCAAACAGUGGGAAUCAACCCUCCCAAAGACCAUCUGCAGCAAAGGUAUGUCUGGUACAAUACAUAGCACCAGAAAAAUUUCAGUUAGCAUAUGUCUGUUCAAAUUCAUAACAACUGCAAAAGUGUAGUUAGGAUGUCUCAAUGAUAAUAUUUUAUGACUGGUAGUCACCAGAACAUGAGAAACUUUGCUGAAGGGUCACAGCAUAAAGAGGGUUGAAAGUCACUGCCUUUGGUACAUCAUGUAGUUGGUGGUUAUACAUGCUAGAAUGCUCUCUAUGAAUUGAAAACGUAAGGCCUAUGCCCUCAUCAUAGCCUCUGUCCUGGAAGAGUGGAGCCAACAACAGUGGUUAAAUAUCUUGUUCGCACAGGAGGCAUUGGUUUUGCACAGACUUCUGGAUCAUAGACAGGCAUCCCUAUACGAUGUAGAUGUCAUGCGUGAUGGCAAUGCUUCAGACAACCUCUGAGGAUGGUCUGACUGGGAACCAUAGGAUCCCAGGUAAUUCUACAUGAUUAAAAUUUUGGGAUGAGAACUAAAAUGCCCCAACUAAGUGAUCAUGUUAACAAAAACUGUGCAAUACCAUUGGGCCACCUAGUGAUGGACAGAGAAAUGGGGGAUGAAAAUGUGUCUGUACCUGUUUUGGGAUGGGAGAGGAGUUGUGGGUCCUCACACAGCCUGCUAAGGGGAAAUGCAUGAGCAUGAGAGGAACCAGGUUCAAAUAUGGCUUGGUUGAUGCACAUGUUGUGAGACCAAGGAAAGACCCUGCCCUGUGCUGGUGGCCUGCAAUCAUAUGUCCUGGUCUCAUCAUAUUGGACUGGCCUACAGAACCUGGGUCCUCAGCUCUCCUUUGUGUUGUGUUCAGGGGAAGCCAUGUUUUUUUAAUGGAAAUCUCCCCCUCCUGGCCUAGUUCACAAGGUGUGCAUAGCCAUCUAGAGUGGGAGAAUGGAAACAUGACCUGUGAAGGCAGUUCUGAGAUCCUCACUUUGAUGAAGUAAAUCUCAGGAUAAGGGUGAUGUGUGAGAAUUGGAACUAGGGGAUUAUAUGAGGAAAUGUGGACACAUGGAUCUCACUGCUCAUGGCCUGAGCGCCUGAUGAACUGUGCCAUCCAGGCCUAAGAGCGUGAGCCAGUAUAGAAAGUUGUAUAUCUAGAAAACUCCCAGACUAAGCUGGUAUGAAGACUGUGUGACAGCAGCCUUUCCUUGAAAUCCCCACAUUGUAGGUUACUGUGGCUAAUAAGGCCGUCACAGGACAGGCUUUUGCAUAGUCCUUUUGAAGCCAUAAACAUGUGUGGUAUACUCACCCUGUAACAAAACCAAAGCAGGGACAAGAAUCCUUAAAAUGCUGGUAUAUAGAGUACAAGAUUCCAGCUUGGCCUAGGAGUUUAGGCUAGUGGGGGACUUGAGGAGGUAUUGGUCCCUCUCAGGACUCUGAUGGAAUGUAGAAAACAUCUACAUGGAGUAUGUGUAACAGAGACUGAGAAAUCAUGGGACCUGGACACUCACCUGGCUCGAUGCUGUGAAAUCCUACAGAGCCCUUUUAUGGCAGUUGUUGUCAAACAGUGGGAAUCAACCCUCCCAAAGACCAUCUGCAGCAAAGAUAUGUCUGUGACAAUUCACAGCACCAGAAAAAUUUCAGUUAGAAUAUGUCUGUUAUGAUUCAUAGCAUCUGCAAAAUUGCAGUAAGGACUUUCCAAUGAAAAUAAUUUUACGGCUGGUGGUCACCAGAACAUGAGAAACUUUGCUAAAGGGUCACAGCAUGAGGAGGGUUGAAAGCCACUGUCUUUCGUACAUCAUGUAGUAGGUGCUUUUAUACGGUGGAAUGUUCUCCAUAAAUUGAAAAUGUAAGGCCUAUGUCUUCAUCAUAGUCUCUGUACUGGAAGAGUGGCGCCAACGACAGUGGUUAAAUAUCUUGGUCACACAGGAGGUGUUGGUUUUGCACAGACUUCUGGAUCAUAGACAGGCAUCUCUAGAGGUUAUGGAUGCCAUGCGUGAGGGCAAGGCUUCAGACAACAUUUGAAGAUGGUCUGACUGGGAUCAAUAAGAUCCCAGGUAAUUCUAAAUGAUUCAGAUUUGUGGAUGAGAACCAAAAUGCCCCAACUAAGUGUUCAAGUUCAAAAAACUGUGCAACACCAGUCGGCCACCUAGUGACAGACAGGGAAAUCGAGAAGUAAAAUAUGUCUGUACCUGUUUUUGGUUGGGGGAUGAUUUCUGGGUACCCAAACAGCCUACUGAGGGGAGAAUGCGUGAGCAUGAGAGGAACCAGGUUCAAAUCUGGCUUUGCUGAUGCACAUGUAGUGAGACCAAGCAAUAGCCCUGCCCCUGUGCUGGUGGCCUGCAAUCAUAUAUCCUGGUCUCAUCAUAUUGAACUGGCCUACAGAACCUGGGUCCUCAGCUCUGUUUUGUGUUCUGUACAGGGGAAGCCAUGUUUGUGACUAAUGCACUCCCCUUGCUCUUCAAGUGCACAAGGUGUGCAUAGCCAUCUAGACUGGGGCAAUGGGAACAUGGCCUGUGAAGGCAGUACUGGGAUACUCACCUUGCUAGAAUGAAUCUCAGGGUCAGGGCAAUCUGUGAGAUUUGAAACAAUGAGAUUAUAUGAGGAAAUGUGGACACAUGGAUCUCACUUUUCAUAGCUUGAGUGCCUGGUGAACUGUCUCAGCUAGGCCUAAGAGCGUGAGCAAGUGUAGGAACUUAUAUGUGCAGAAAACUCCAAGGCUGAGCUGGAAUGAAUCUGUAUAACACCAGCCUUUCCUUAAAAUCCCCACAUUGUAGGUUGACUGCACGUAAGUCCGUUACAGACAGAAUUUUGUAUAGUCCCUUUGAAGCCACCAACAUGUGUGGUAUACUCACCCUGUAACAAAACCAAAGCAGGGAUGAGAAUCCUUGAAAUGCUGGUAUAUAGACUACAAGAUUCCAGCUUGGCCUAGGAGUUUAGGCUAGUGGGGGACUCGAGGAGAUAUUGGUCCCUCUCAGGACUCUGAUGGGAUGUAGGAAACAUCUACAUGGACUAUGUGUAACAGAGACUGAGAAAUCUUGGGACCUGGACACUCACCUGGAUCGGUGCUGUGAAAUCCUACAGAGUCUUUUAUGGCAGUUGUUGUCAAACAGUGGGAAUCAACCCUCCCAAAGACCAUCUGCAGCAAAGAUAUGUCUGUGACAAUUCAUAGCACUAGAAAAUUUUCGGUUAGAAUAUGUCUGUUCAGAUACAAAAAACUGCAAAAUUGUAGUUAGGAUUCCUCAAUGAAAAUAAUUUUAUGACUUUUCAUCACCAGAGCAUGAGAAACUUUGCUAAAGGGUCACAGCAUGAGAGGGUUGAAAGCCACUGUCUUUGGUAUAUCAUGUAGUAGGUGGUUCUACAGGCUGGAAUGCUCUCUAUGAAUUGAAAAUGUAAGGCUUAUAUCCUCAUCAUAGUCUCUGUCCUGGAAGAGUGGCGCCAACGACAGCGGUUAAAUAUCUUGGUCACACAGGAGGUGUUGGUUUUGCACAGACUUCUGGAUCAUAGGCAUCCCUAUACGAUGUGGAUGCCAUGCGUGAGGGCAAUGCUUCAGACAACAUCUGAAGAUGGUCUGACUGGGAAUCAUAGGAUCACAGGUAAUUCUAUAUGAUUAAAAUUUUGGGAUGAGAACCAAAAUGCCCCACCUCAGAGGUCAAGUUAAAAAAAAACUGUGCAAUACCAUUGGGCCACCUAGUGAUGGACAGAGAAAUGGAGGAUGAAAAUGUGUCUGCGCCUGUUUUGGGAUAGGGGAAGAGUUGUGGGUCCCCACACAGCCUGCUGAGGGGAGAAUGCAUGAGCAUGAGAGGAACCAGGUUCAAAUCUGGCUUGGUUGAUGCACAUAUUGUGAGACCAAGGAAAGACCCUGCCCUGUGCUGGUGGCCUGCAAUCAUGUGUCCUGGUCUCAUCAUAUUGGACUGGCCUACAGAACCUGGGUCCUCAGCUCUGCUUUGUGUUGUGUUCAUGAGAAGCCAUGUUUGUUACUGGAAAUCUCCCCUUGCUGGUCUAGUGCACAAAUUUUGCAUAGCCAUCUAGACUGGGAGAAUGGAAACAUGGCCUGUGAAGGCAGUUCUGAGAUCAUCACUUUGAUGAAGUGGAUCUCAGGAUAAGGGUGAUCUGUGAGAACUGGGACUAGGGGAUUAAAUGAGGCAAUGUGGACACGUGGAUCUCACUGCUCAUGGCCUGAGCGCCUGAUGAACUGUGCCAUCCAGGCCUAAGAGUGUGAGCCAGUGUAGGAAGUUGUGUAUCUAGCAAACUCCUAGACUGAGCUGGUAUGAAGACUGUGUGACAGCAGCCUUUCCUUGAAAUCCCCACAUUGUAGAUUGACUGUGGCUCAUAAGGUCAUUACAGGACAAGAUUUUACAUAGUCCAUUUGAAGCCACCUACAUGUGUGGUAUACUCACCCUGUAACAAACCAAAGCAGAGAAGAGAAUCCUUGAAAUGCAGGCAUAUAGACCACAAGAUUCCAGCUUGGCCUAGGAGUUUAGGCUAGUGGCAGACUGAGAGGUUAUUUGACCCUCUCAGGACUCUGCUGGUGUGCAGAAUACAUGUACAUAGUGUAUCUGUAACAGAGACUGAGAAAUCAUUGGAUCUGGAGACUCACCUGACUCAGUGCUGUGAAAUCAUACAGAGCGCUUUUAUGCUAGAUGUUGUCAAACAGUGGGAAUCAUCCCUCCCAGUGACAAUCUGAAGCAACGAUAUGUCUGGUAAUAAUCAUAGCACCAGCAAGGUCAAAAUUAGGAUUUGUUUGUUAGAAUUAAUAGCACCUGUAAAUUGUAGUGAGUAAGUCUCAACGAAAAAGAAUUUUGUGGCUGGUGGUCACCAGAACAUGAGAAACUUUCCUAAAGGGUUUGCAGCAUGAGGAGGGUUAAAAGUCACUGUCUUUGGUACAUCAUGAAGUACGUGCUUUUAUUCACUGUAAUGUUCUCCAUGAGUUGAAAAUGUAAGGCCUAUGUCCUCAUCAAGGUCUCUGUACUGGGAAAGUAGGGCCAACGACAAUGGUUAAAUAUCUUGGUGACACAGGAGGUGUUGGUUUUGCACAGACUUCUGAAUCAUAGACAGGCAUUCCUAGAGGAUGUGGAUGCCAUGGGUGACGGCAAGGCUUCAGACAGCCUCUGAAGAUGGUCUGAAUGGGAAAAAUAGGAUCCCAGUUAAUUCAAAAUGAUUCAAAUUUGUGGAUGAGAACCAAAAUGCCCCAACUAAGUGGUCAAGUUCAAAAAACUGUGCAACACCAUUCAGUCACCUAGUGACGGACAGAGAAAUGUAGGAUUAAACCAUGUCUGUACCUCUAUUGGGUUGGCAGAUGAUUUGUGGGUCCCCCAUUGCUUACUGAGGAGAGAAUGCAUGAGCAUGAGAGGAACCAGGUUCAAAUCUGAUUUUGGUGAUGCACAUGUUGUGAGACCAAGGAAAUGCCCUGCCCUGUGCUGGUGGCCUGCAAUCAUGUGUCCUGGUCUCAUCAUAUUGCACUGGCCUACAGAACCUGGGUCCUCAGAACUGCUUUGUGUUGUGUUCAAGGGAAUCCAUGUUUGGUACUGGAAAUCUCCCCUUGCUGGUUUUGUUCAAAUAGUGGUGCAUAGCCAUCAGGACUGGGAGAAUGGGAUCAUGUCCAGUGAAGGCAGUUCUGGGAUACUCACCUUGCUGGAAUGGAUCUCAGGAUCAGGGUGAUCUGUGAGACCUGGGAUGAUGGAAUUAUAUGAGGGGAUGUGGACACACGGAUAUCACUGCUCAUAGCCUGGGUGCCUGGUGAACUGUACUAGCUAAGACUAAGAGCUUGAGCCAGUGUACGAAGUUGUGUUUCCAGAAAGCUCCAAGGCUAAGCUGGUAUGACGUCUUUGUGAAACCAACCUUUCCUUGAAAUCUCACAUUUUAGUGUGACUGUAGCUCAUAAGGCAGUUACAGGACAGGCUUUUGCAUAGUCCUUUUGAAGUCACAAACAUGUGUGUUAUACUCACCCUGUAACAAAACCAAAGCAGGGAUAAGAAUCCUCAAAAUGCUCAUGUAUAGACUACAAUAUUCCAGCUUGGCCUAGUAGUUUACACUAGUGGGGGAUUCAAGGGAAGAUUGGUCCAUCUCAGGAUUCUGAAGGAAUGUAGAAAACAUUUACAUGGAGUAUGUGUAACAGAGACUGAGAAAUCAUGGGACCUGGACUCUCACCUGGCUUGGUGCUGUGAAAUGAUACAGAGCCCUUUUAUGGCAGUUAUUGUCAUACCAGUGGGAAUCAAUCCUCCCAAAGACAAUCUGCAACAAAGAUAUGUCUGUGACAAUUCAUAGCACCAACAACAUUUCAGUUAGGAUAUGUCUGUUAUGAUUCAUAGCAUCUUCAAAACUGCAGUAAGGACAUUCCAAUGAAAAUAAUUUUACGACUUUUGGUCACCAGAACAUGAGAAACUUUGCUAAAGGGUCGUAGUAUGAGGAGGGUUGAAACCCUCUGUCUCUGAUUCUUUAGAAGUAGGUGAAUUUAAGUCUGGAAUGCUCUACAUGAAUAAAAUUGUAAGCCAAUGCCCUCAUUAAGGGCUCUGUCCUGGGAGAGUGGGGACUACGGUGGUGGCUGAAUAUCUUGGUCACUCAGGAGGUUUUGGUGUUGUUUAGACUUCUGGAGAAUAGACAGGCAUCCCUAGAGGAUGUGGAUGCCAUGGGUGAGGGCAAAUCUUAGGACAACCUCUGAGGAUUGUCUGACUGUGAAAUAAAGGAAACCAGUGGAUUCAAAAUUGUCAAAUUUGGUGAUCGUGGGGCCAUAAAUGCCUAAAUACAGUGGUCUCUUUCAAAAAUAAACUGUGCAGCACCAGUGGACCACCUAGUGCAGCAUGGGUAUGUGGAGAAUGAAAAUGUGUCUGUGCCUGUUUUGGUAUGGGGGAGGAAUUGUGGGUCCCCACACAGCCUGCUGAAAGGAGAAUGCAUGAGCAUGAGAGGAACCAGGUUCAAAUCUGGCUUGGUUGAUGCACAUGUUGAGAGACCAAGGAAAGACCCUGCCCUAUGCUGGUGGCCUGCAGUCAUAUGUCCUGGUCUCAUCGUACUGGACUGGCCUACAGAACCUGGGUCCUCAGAUCUGCUUUGUGUUGUGUUCAAGGGAAGCCAUGUUUGUGACUAGAGCUCUCCCCUUGCUGGUCUAGUGUACAUGGUGUGCAUGGCCAUCCAGACUGGGAGAAUGGGAGCAUGGCCUGUGAAGGAAGUUCUGGGAUCCUCAAUUUGAUGAAGUGGAUCUCAGGAUAAGGGUGAUCUCUGAGAACUGGGAGUAGGGGAUUAUAUGAGGAGAUGUGGACACCUGGAUCUUACUGCUCAUAGCCUCAGUGCCUGGUGAACUGUGCCAACCAGGCCUAAGACCAUGAGCCUGUGUAGGAAGUUAUGUAUCUAGCAAACUCCUAGGCUGAGCUGGUAUGAAGUCUCUGUGAUACCAGGCUUUUUUUUGAAAUCCCCACAUUCUAGGUUGACUGUAGCUCAUGAGGCAGUUACAGGACAAGAUUUUGCAUAGUGCUUUUGAAGCCACAAACAUGUGUGGCAACAUGUUUGUGUAACAAAGCCUAACAAAGCCUGUAAGAAAGCCAAACAGUGACGAGAAUCCUUGAAAUGCUGGCACUUAGACUACAAGAUUGCAGCAUGGCCUAGGAGUUUAGGCUAAUGGCAAACUGAGAGGAUAUUUGACCCUUUGAGGACUCUGCUGGUGUGCAGAAUACAUGUACAUGGUGUAUGUGUAGCAGAGACUGAGAAAUCAUGGGAUUUUGACACGCGCCGGACUCAGAACUAUGAAAUCAUACAGAGCGCAUUUUGUGACAGAUGUUGUGGGAAUCAACCCUCCCAAAGACAAUCUGAAUCAAAGAUAUCUCUGGUACAGUUCAUAGCAUGAGUAAAAUUGAAAGUUGGAUUUUUCUGUUAUGAUUCAUAUCAUCUGUAAAAUGCAGUGAUGAUAUCCCAAUAAAAAUAAUUCUAUAGCUAGUGGUCAUCAGAUCACGAGAAACUUUGCUAAAGGGUUGCAGCAUGAGGAGGGUUGAAAGCCACUGUCUUUGGUACAUCAUGCAGUAGGUGCUUUUAUACGCUGGAAUGCUCUCCAUGAAUUGAAAAUGUAAGGCCUAUGUCCUCAUCAAGGUCUCUGUACUGGGAGAGUGGGGACUACAGUGAUGGUUGAAUAUCUUGGUCACUCAGGUGGCAUUGGUUUUGCACAGACUUCUGGAUCAUAGACAGGCAUCCCUAGAGGAUGUGGAUGCCAUGGGUGAGGGCAAGGCCUCAGACAACCUCUGAGGAUGGUCUAACUGGGAACCAUUGCAUCCCAGGUAAUUCUAUAUGAUUAAAAUUUGGGGGUAAGAACCAAAAUGCCCCAACUAAGUGUUCAAGUUCAAAAAACUGUGCAACACUAGUCGGCCACCUAGUGAUAGACAGAGAAAUGGAGGAUAAAAAUGUGUCUGUGCUUGUUUUGGGAUGGGGUAGGAAUUGUGGGUCCCCACACAGUCUGCUGAGGAGAGAAUGCAUGAGCAUGAGAGGAACCAGGUUUAAAGCUGUCUUGGCUGAUACACAUGUUGUGAAACCAGAAAAGGCCAUGCCCUGUGCUGGUGACCUGUAAUCAUAUGUCCUGGUCUCAUCAUAUUGGACUGGUCUACAGAACCUGGGUCCUCAGCUCUGCUUUGUGUUGUGUUCAGGGGAAGCCAUGUUUGUUACUGGAAAGCAUCCCUUGCUGGUCUAGUGCACAAGGUGUGCAUAGCCAUCUAGACUGGGAGAAUGGAAACAUGGCCUGUGAAGGCAGUUCUGGGAUCCUCACUUUGAUGAAGUGGAUCUCAGGAUAAGAGUGAUUUGUGAGAACUGGGACUAGGGGAUUAAAUGAGGAAAUGUGGACACAUGGAUCUCACUGUUCAUGGCCCGAGUGCCUGGUGAACUGUGCCAUCCAGGCCUAAGAGCGUGAGCCAGUGUAGGAAGUUGUGUAUCCAGCAAACGCCUAGGCUGAGCUGGUAUGAAGACUGUGUGACAGCAGCCGUUCCUUGAAAUCCCCACAUUGUAGGUUACUGUGGCUCAUAAGGCCGUUACAGGACAGGCUUUUGCAUAGUCCUUUUGAAGCCACCAACAUGUGUGGUAUACUCACCCUGUAACAAAACCAAAGCAGGGACGAGAAUCCUUAAAAUGCUGCUUUAUAGACUACAAGAUUCCAGCUUGGCCUAGGAGUUUAGGCUAGUGGGGGACUUGAGGAGGUAUUGGUCCCUCUCAGGACUCUGAUGGAAUGUAGAAAACAUCUACAUGGACUAUGUGUACAGAGACUGAGAAAUCAUGGGACCUGGACACUCACCUGUAUCGGUGCUGUGAAAUCCUACAGAGCCCUUUUAUGGCAGUUGUUGUCAAACAGUGGGAAUCAACCCUCCCAAAGACCAUCUGCAGCAAAGAUAUGUCUGUGACAAUUCACAGCACCAGAAAAAUUUCAGUUAGAAUAUGUCUGUUAUGAUUCAUAGCAUCUGCAAAAUUGCAGUAAGGACUUUCCAAUGAAGAUAAUUUUACGGCUGGUGGUCACUGGUCACCAGAACAUGAGAAACUUUGCUAAAGGGUCACAGCGUGAGGAGGGUUGAAACCCACUGUCUUUGGUUCUUUAUGAAGGAGGUGGAUUACAGGCUGGAAUGCUCUCCAUGAAUAAAAGUGUAAGGCCAAUGCCCUCACCAAGGUCUCUGUCCUGGGAGAGUGGGGACUAUGGUGUUGGUUGAAUAGCUUGUUCACUCAGGAGGCUUUGGUGUUGCACAGACUUCUGGAUCGUAGACAGGCAUCCCUAGAGGAUGUGGAUGCCAUGGCUGAGGGCAAAUCUUCAGAGAACCUCUGAGGAUUGUCUGACUGUUAAAUAAAGGAAACCAGAGGAUUCUAAAUUGUCAAAUUUGGUGAUAGUGGAGCCAUCAAUGCUCCAAUACUUUGGUCUGUUUCAAAAUUAAACUGUGCAACACCAGUGGACCUCCUAAUACAGGAUGGGUAUUUGGAGGAUGAAUAUGUGUCUGUGCUUCUUUUGGGAUGAGGGAGGAGUUGUGGGUCCCCACACAGCCUGUUGUGGGGAGAAUGCAUGAACAUGAGAGGAACCAGGUUCAAAUCUGGCUUGGCUAAUGCACAUGUUUUGAGACCAAGGAAAGGCCCUGCCGUGUGCUGGUGGCCUGCAAUCAUAUGUCAUGGUCUCAUCAUAUUGGACUUGCCUACAGAACCUGGGUCCUUAGCUCUGCAUUGUGUUUUGUUCAGGGGAAGUCAUGUUUGUAACCAGAGCUCUCCCCUUGCUCGUCUAGUGCACAAGUUGUGCAUAGCCAUCUAGACUUGGAGAAUGGGAACAUCGCCCUUGAUGGCAGUUCUGGCAUCCUCAAUUUGAUGGAAUAGAUCACAGGAUAUUGGAAAUCUGUGUAACCUGGGCUUAUUGCACGGUGAGAAGGUGUGGACAUGUGGCACUCACUCUCAUUGCCAGAAUGAGCAAAAUUCAUUUUUGUAGACAAAAAUGAAUAGAGGACAGUUCCGCUACAUAUAAGUGUGUGAGCCAGUGUGAGAGGAUCCAUUACUAUAAGACUCCAUGGCUAAGCUGGCAUGCACUCUGUAUGACUGCGGUACUUUCUAGAAAUUUAUAUGUAGUAGGGUGGCUGUGACAUUUUUGACAGUCACCCUGACAGUAUUUUGCACAGUUCUUUGGUUCCACAUACAUUUGGGUAAUAGCCACAUUCUAAGAAGUCAGGACCGUGGGUGAGAUUCCAUGAGAUGUAUCCAUGCAGACUCAAAUAUUCCAGCUUGAACCCGGAGUUUAAGGUAGUGGGAUAAUAACUGGCUUAUGGAUUCCUCUCUAGACUGUGUUGGUGUUCAGACUACAUCAACUUGGUGUCAAAGUAACUGAUUGCCUAAUCCUGGGAUCUGUAUAUUCACGUGGCUUGGUGCUAUGAAAUCCUAUAGAGACCUUUUCUUAGGGGAGUUAUACUCAACCUGUGAGAAGCCACCCUCCCAAAGACCAUCUGAAGCAAUGCAAUUUAUAUGACAAUUCAUAACACCAGCAAAACUGAAGUUAGGACGAUCCAGUGGAAAUGAUUUUACUGUCUGUGUUCACCAGAACAUGAGAAAUUUUGCUAAAUGGUCUCAACAUGAGGAGGAUUAAAACCCACUAUCUUAUGGUCAGUAGAUUGUACAUAGGUUAGAGCCUGGGUGACUCUCCAUGAAUGAAAAUUGUAAGGUCUAUGCCCACAGCAAGGUCUCUGUCCUAGUGAAUGAGGUCAAUAGUGGUGGACAGUUAUUUGGGUCAUACAGGAGCCUUUGCUGUUGCACAGGCUCCUGGACUAUAGACAGGCAUCCCGAGAGGAUGUAGAUGACAUGGCUAAGGUUAAAGCUUCAGACAAUGAUUGAGGCCUGUCUGACUGGGAACCAAAGGAUCCCAGCUUAUUUCAAAUGAUUCAAAUUUGGGAGAGGUGAGGACCAAAAUGCCCCAACUCAAUGUUAAGGUUCAAAAACUGUGCAACACCAGCUGGGCCACCUAGUGAAGGAUGUGUACAUGGAGGAUGAAAAUGUGUCUGGGUUUUGGGAUCGGGGAGGAGUUGUGGGUCCCCACACAGACUGCUGAGGGGAGAAUGCAUGAGCAUGAGAGGAACCAGGUUUAAAGCUGGCUUGGUUGAUGCACAUGUUGUGAGACCAAGGAAAGACCCUGCCCUGUGCUGGUGGCCUGCAAUCAUGUGUCCUGGUCUCAUCAUAUUGGACUGGCCUACAGAACCUGGGUCCUCAGCUCUGCUUUGGGUUGUGUUCAUGGAAGCCAUGUUUGUGACUAGAGCUCUCCCCUUGCUGGUCUAGUGCACACGGUGUUCAUAGCCAUCUAGUCUAGGAGAAUGGGAACAUGGCCUGUGAAGGCAGUUCUAGGAUCCUCACUUUGCUGGAAUGGAUCACAGGAUUUUGGUGAUCUGUGAGAUGUGGGCCUAUGGCACUGUGAGAAGCUGUGGACAUGUGGCACUCACUGCUUGUGGCUUAAAUGAGCAAAAUUCAUUUUUGUGGACAAAAAUGAAUAGAGGACAGCCCAAAUACACCUAAGAGUGUAAGCCAUUGAGGGAGGAUCCAUUACUAGAAGACUCCAUGACUAAGCUGGCAUGCGGUCUGUAUGACAGCAGCACUUUCUAGAAAUUUCCAUAUAGUAGAGUGACUGUGACAUGUUUGACAGUCACCCGGACAGCAUUUUGCACAGUUCUUUUGGUGCCACAUAAAUGUGUGUUAUGGUCACAUUCUAAGAAGGCCAGACCAUGGGUGAAAAUACACCUGAUGCAUCCAUGCAGACUCCAAUACUCCAGCUUGGCCUAGGAGUUCAAGGUACCGAGGCAGUCACAGGGUUAUUGAUUUCUCUCUAGACUGUGUUGGUGUUCAGACUACACUAACUCGGUGUCAAAGUGACCGAUUGCGAAAUCAUCUGAUCUGUACAUUCACCUGGCUUGGUGCUGUGAAAUCCUAUGGAGACCUUUUCUUAGGGCAGUUAUACUCAACCUGUGGGAAGCAACCCUCCCAAAGACCAUCUGAAGCAUGCAAUUUACAUGACGAUUCAUAACACCAGCAAAACUGAAGUUAGGACGAUCCAGUGGAAAUGAUUUUACUGUCUGUGUUCACUAGAACACGAGAAAUUUUGCUAAAUGAUCUCAGCAUGAGGAGGGUUAAAACCCACUCUCUUAUGGUCAUCAGACAGUACGUAGAUCAGGGCCUGAAUGACUCUCCAUGAAUGGAAAGUGUAAGGCCUAUGCCCACAGCAAGGUCUCUGUCCUAGUGAAUGAGGUCAAUGGUGGUGGAUGGUUAUUUGUUGGAAAGCAGGAUGCUGUAUCAGUCUCAUUGAUUGUCUAGUGUUCAGAGUGCAAGAUACCAGCUAAUCAUAGGCAUGUAAAGAUUGGGCAGUUUUGUAGGAAUCUCUUAGUCUACUGUGGUAGUGUACUGAUUGCUAUGUUUUCUAGGCCUGGGAAUAUGAAGGGCAGGGUCAUGCUGGGUUCAGGAGCACUUACCUGGCUCAUUUGGUUGACAAGCUGUGAGAACCAGAAUAGACCUGGGACUUUUAGGCCGAACAGGUGGGUGAACAUCUGGAUCACUCUCCAGGUUAGGCAGAUGCCAGAUACAUGGCCCAUGCUGAGGUUAGUGUAUAUGGCUAAUUGUGGUAGCUGAUUAUUUGGGGUCCAUCACCAGGUCUUUUUUGUUGGUUAGCAUUUGCUUGGCUCCUGUGAAAUUAUUUUUCCAGUAUCUGCCAGACAGUUUCCAGGUUUUCUGUCUUAACACUCUUGUGUAGGAAUAGAAUUUUCUAGUUGUUCCAGCUUUGUAUGUUUUUCAACUAUAAAUUCUUGACCGAAGAAUAUCUUUCAUUUCCAUGUUCUUCCAUGCAUUGUCUGGUCUAACAAUGAAAGACACAUUUCAGCUGUGUGUCUUUGCUGUUACAAAGUUUCCUUGGACAUAAUGAUUACCUGUUUGGUGUUUAACGGUUCCUCUGCCAUGUUUUUCAUAGGCAUUGCUGGUCUGAUCUCCACGACCCCUUCAUCUCUUUUUUACCCCAUUUUUAAAGAAAAAGUUUUCCAUGUGAUGUUUUCCACAUCAAGAGCUGUAUUAAUCAUGAAAGAUAGUCUCUGCAUUUUACUAUUCCAGCUCUUUCUGCUCUGAUCAUUAAAAAAGUGUUCCAUAGCCAGCUUUUAUCUGCUCUGGCCAGGAAGUAAAUCUCUAAACUCAGCCACUUCCAAAGAGGUCACGUCAUGUAGGUUCCAAAGGAAGUUUACCAUUUCUGUAUCUUCACCAUCAUUAUUUAUUCUAGUCAGGAAGGAAUUAUUGUAUUUAUAUGUCUUCCUUGGCUGUAUUCAUUUUGGCUGCACAACAAUCUUUAAUAUUUAUGUCUUCUCAAGUUAUAGCUGACUUCAAAUAAUAAUAUCUACUCCAUAUUCUUGUUUUUCCCAGAUAUAUUUCUCUGAUACCUAUGGAAAUCUUCAAUAUCCACAUCUUUCAAUGCCAUAUUUUUUCUUGAAUGUUCCCUUACCACAGCAAUAACUAUUUGGUGAUGAAAAGCAGCUACCAUUUUCCUAUCUGCACCAUGAAAUAUAUUCUGCAUGUUAUAUUUUCUGCCAUAGAUAGUAUUGUUAGGAAAUAAGCCUUCUAUCUCAUGUCUUUACUAACCACAGCUCCUUGGUGCAUUUUUCAUAUCAAUUUAUUUCUCAAAAUGAGUAUCCAUAAGAGAUAGAAUCCAAUCCUCAGUCUUGUAUAAUCAUUAAAGAUUCUAGUUGCAAAGAGAACAUGACUUGUUCACUCAUAAGGGUUUUAAAAAUUAUGUUAUAAUUUUCCAUGUCUAUAUGUUUUUAACUCACAACUACUCUGGCAAUAAAGUGCAUUCUCUGCAGUCACAUCCUCCUGUUGCUGCUUUAGUACUGGAAUAAGUCAUCUAUCACUAUGUCUUUCCCUAGAUAUAGAUGCUGUUGACAAGAAAGUGAUGCCCAACUUCUAUGUUGUGUCAUUCAGUGCAGGGUUGUAGCUGUGAAAUGCCUUCCAAAUCUAUUUCAUCAUGAGCUAAAGUUGAUUGGUAAAGCAAGAAGUUUUCCAUUACCAUAUCUUCCCAGUUUAUAUCCACUCUGCUUAAGGAAAUUUUCCUGCUUCUCCUCUUCCAUAGGCUCAACAAAGUUGGUCAGAAAAAAGUUUCCAUCUCUGGCCAAGAAAUAAGUUCUUCAUUUUCAUGCUUUGAUAAUGUAAAAAGCCAUUCCUUGCUAGUACCUUUCAAAGUCUCUCUGCUCUGGUUAUGAGCUUGACCUUUGAAUGCUAUAUACUAUAAUUCCUUCCAUUAAAAACCAUAUACCUUUCUGUGUCCCCAAAACUACAGCUGUCUUUGUUACAGAAUUGUUUUUUUUUCCUGUUAUCAUAGCUUUUCAAAUCAUGGCAGCUUUGAUCAUGAGAGCAGACUUCCCACAGAACAGUCCUUGCUGUUGACGAUUUAGGAAAACUUCUUACUCCAUUCCUGUUCAGUCAUAUUUAUUUUUGUCACAAUCUAGUUUUGGUUUCCUCAGUUUCUGCAUCCAUAGCUACUUUGUCAAGUAAACAAUGAUUUUAAAUCUAGGAUUUCUCCUGUUAAAUUUGCUGUCAGUGUGUCUGUUUUGGUGACCACAGAAAAUUUUCUCUUCCCUCUCUGACCAUUUAUGCUCUGAUCACUGAAGAUUUUUUUGAUUGUGUAUCUUAUACGACCAUAGCAGCUCUUUGUGUGUUUGUACUGAGAUAUUAUCUCAUCAGUCAGGGUGGUCUUGAACUCACCAUCCUACUACAGUGCUAGCUAGCAGCUCUUUGAUACAUGUAUCUGAGCUUUAUGACAUCCACAUAAUAAGUAAAUCUCUACAGCAAGAUGAAUUAAUAGAUAUAUUAUCUUACAUACCUGCUUUUUUGUGAUGAAAGCAGCUAAAAUUUACUUAUUUCAUUAAAACCUAAAUACAAUAUGGUCUUAUUAACUCUAGUACUCAUGCUGCCAUACAUAAAGUCUCUAUACUUGCUCCUCCUACACAUCUUCUACUUCAGGAUUCCUUUAGAACAGUUCUCACCACUUCAGUACAGUGUAGGUUUCCUUGUAGUGAAAGUGUGAUUCUAUCCUGCUGCGUCCCACUUUUCUAGCUUCACUCAUGGCUUGAGAGAAUAUAGAGAAACAUAAAGAAUACGCUAAUUGGAACAAAGUUCUAGGCAAGGACAGCCAAGUAGAUGAGCCCAGUUUGUUCUCUUCUGUGGGGUUUUGCAUUUCUACCUAUGCCUAUUUAUAUGUAUGUAUCCCCUUUUCAUGCUGUAUGUUUGGCUUUUUACUCUGUAUCCUGACUGUAUUCAAGCUGAGAAGAGGACUGCAACUGUAGCAUGGAGAACAUACUGUAAUUAUGGUAAGACAAUGGCCAAUUCAGGAACUAUUCUCUAAAAGGUGAAGAGAUUGCAGAAACAAUUAUCAAACCCCCCCUUAAAAUAUCAGGAAUUCAUUAGAGUACAAUGAGGCUUUCUGGGGGCAAAGCCAAUGACUGCCUAGGAUAAAGGAUCUGGCGAUGUCUGUCUGUCUCAACCCAGCCCCUUCAUCAGACCAAACCUACCAAGAAAACUGAGGCUUGUAUCUUGUAAAAAGUCACCUGUGGCUGAAAUACUCUUUUCAUAUGAAUACUAUGAGUGCUCACAUUGGCGGCAUACUCCUGUCAUCUUAGCACUAAAAAGACCAAAGCAAUAGGACUACAGCCCAGUGUAGGUUGCAUGAUAAGAACCUGUCUAAAAAUGGCUAACAUUACUUUUACUCAUACUUGUUCUUUUUUAUUUAAAAUAUCCCUGGGUCUCUGAACUCCACUUCGCUCAACAUUAUGUCAUCUUAUACUCUGAGAAACAUCUUGGGACAUUUGUACCUGGAUUUCAUCAGGCUUGAUGUUUGGUAUUCCUUAUAGACCUCCACACUGUAAUUACAGGUGAUUUUAACCAGAAAUGCCACCCAUUAGCUCUGUCAAGAGGAACAACAUUCAACAUGCCACCACACUGGAAAAACUUGGCUAGGAUCUGGCAACAAGCUGAAGUUCCAAGACCAUCUGGACAUCAAGAGUCACUUCUUCAUAUUUCCAUAAAUGCUAGUUUGGUUGUGCUUGUAAUCCAUGCUACUUUGGAGACUUGAGUCAAAGAAACAAGUUGACCAUCCUGAACAAGACAGGAUAUAACCUUAUCUCAAAUCAAAACCAACCAAACUCCAGAAAGAUAUUCAUAAACUUUCUGGUGAGUUUGCUGAGGAAAAGGAUUAUAUUGCUAAAUGUUAAGGGAUAAUGCCAUUAAUAUUUUAUAUUAAUGGUAUUUUAUUAUUUAAGCCAUCAAAAUACUCAUUCUUAAUAACACGCAUUCUUGAGUGAACUUUUGUAAUGGGUGAAAUACUUAUAUGUAUAUGCGUAAUGAGAUAAUAUUUGUGCCAUUUUAGACUGAUGUUAUUUGUAGUAUACUGAUGAUUCAGUGUAUAUCUUUUCCGUUAAGUUAUGUAAGAUUGGUAGAUUAGAAUUUACAAGUAAAAUAGUGGAUUAAAUACUAUAUCUGAGCCAGUGGAUAAAAAAUGUUAUGAUAAAAACAUAAUAAAUCCUAUUUAUGUACAAGAAAGACUAAAAAAACUAAAAAGGCAAAGUCUAAACUUCUCUACAACGAAGGAUCCAGGUCCAGCAGAAAUCAGUUGUGGUACUACUCCUACUAACUGACCUCGCUGUAGCUGCCAGACUUGUGUUCUCACCAUGAAAGCGCAGGAGAGAAGGCCUGGGCUGUGUAAACUCAACUGAAUGGGUAAAAAUCCCUUAAAUAGAACAGGAUGUGAGUAGUAGAAAUGUGGUUUGACAACCUAAAGAUCACUACACAUUAAUAGAGGGAACAAUUUGUCAAGAAUAUUAGAAUGUUAUUAAUUUUUGUGCACCAAAUAUUAGAUCCAGUCAGUGAGAAAUUUCAAUACUCUCAUCCUUAGACACAUUUCAAACUAAAAAUCUACAAAGAAAUGACAUGAGCAAAUAACACCAUAGAGCAGUCACAUUUUACAGAUACUUACAAAGUAUUCCAUCCAAUUAAUAGGAACUACGCAUUAAUCUCAGCAGCACAGGGGGUUUUAUCUAAAACUAUUCACAUUACAGGACACAAAACAAAGAUGGAAUUACUUACAUUUUAUAAGAUAAUGGUAUAAUAAAAGAAGUUACAAAAAUACUUAGUACUGAGCAAUACAUUUUUGAAUUAACAGUAGACUCUAAUAAAAUCCAGAGAGACUUUAGGGGAUACUUUAUUAACUUACAUUCUAAAAAAAGCUAGAAAACUGGGACUGGAGAUGUAGAUCUGUGGUAGACUGCUUGUUUGGCAUCUUCAAAACCCUAAAUUUGAUUCCUAGCACUGUUAAAAAAAUGUUAGAAAACUUAAAAGAAAUGGAUAUAUUCCUGAACCCAUGUGACCUGCCAACAUGAAUUCAAGGAGGUACGAACAACUUCAAGAAAUGCAAAAUAAGCAAUGAUUUUGUAGUCUUUCCACAUAGAAAAGUCAGGGGAUGCUGGGUGGUACUGGUGCAUGUCUUUAAUCCCAGCACUUGAGAGGCAGAGACAGGAGGAACUCUAUGAGUUCAAGGCCAGUCCCUGGUCUACACAGCAAGUUUCAGGACAGGCUCCAAAAGCUACAGAAAAAAACCUGUCUUGAAAAACCAAAAGAAAAAGAAAGAAGAAAGAAAGAGAGAGAGAGAGAGAGAGAGAGAGAGAGAGAGAGAGAGAAAAGGAAAAGAGGAAAGGAAAAGAAAAGAAAAGAAAGACAGGGCUGAAUGGAUUCACUAUUGAAUUCUAACAAAUCUUUAAGGAAGUCUAGCAUUAGCACUUCUUAAACAUUCUCAUAAAAAGAAGUAGAGGGGACACCAUUAAACUUAUCUAAGAAAUUCCAUGUUCCCAUAAUGUGAAUACUGUUAACAUUACUGUUAUUCAUUUUAAAGCAUUAAAGAUGUUUUAUACAUACGUUAAAUUCAUCACUGACCCUAAAAAUGAAGUGAUUGGAAAAAAUGGAUUAAACAUCAAACUACA